rnacentral:rRNA from 1 species
AUUGAACGCUGGCGGCAUGCCUAACACAUGCAAGUCGAGCGAGUGGCGGACGGGUGAGUAAUGUAUGGGGACUGCCCGUUAGAGGGGGAUCACCACUGGAAACGGUGGCUAAUACCGCAUACUAUCGGAUAACCCAUAUGGGAUUAGCUUGUAGGUGGGGUAAAGGCUCACCUAGGCGACGAUCUCUAGCUGGUCUGAGAGGAUGAUCGGCCACACUGGGACUGAGACACGGCCCAGACUCCUACGGAGGCAGCAGUGGGGAAUAUUGCACAAUGGGCGCAAGUCUGAUGCAGCCAUGCCGCGUGUAUGAAGAAGGCUUUAGGGUUGUAAAGUACUUUCGUCGGGGAAGCGUUACCCACACAGGAAGCACCGGCUAACUCCGUGCCAGCAGCCGCGGUAAUAC